rnacentral:rRNA from 1 species
GACGAACGCUGGCGGCGUGCUUAACACAUGCAAGUCGAACGGAAAGGCCCCUUUGGGGGUACUCGAGUGGCGAACGGGUGAGUAACACGUGAGUAACCUGCCCUUUACUUCGUGAUAACUUCAGGAAACUGGGGCUAAUACCGGAUAGGAAUCCUUGCUGCAUGGUGGGGGUUGGAAAGCUUCGGCGGUUUUGGAUGUACUCGCGGCUUAUCAGCUUGUUGGUGGGGUAGUGGCUUACCAAGGCUUUGACGGGUAGCCGGCCUGAGAGGGCGACCGGCCACAUUGGGACUGAGAUACGGCCCAGACUCCUACGGGAGGCAGCAGUGGGGAAUAUUGCACAAUGGGCGGAAGCCUGAUGCAGCAAAGCCGCGUGCGGGAUGACGGCCUUCGGGUUGUAAACCGCUUUCAGCAGGGGCGAAGCUUGUGGUGACGGUACCUGCAGAAGAAGCACCGGCUAACUACGUG